CAUUAUCGAGUUCUUGAAAUGGGUUGUAGCUGGCCUUCCGAGGCAUGUGCACGCCCUGCUCAAUCCACUCUACACCUGUGCACUUACUGUAGGUUUCUCGGUCGCGUUGGGUCUCUUCACUGGGGCUCGACAAAGCCGAGGGGCUUAUGUCUUACUACAAACUAUAAAGUAACUGAAUGUAUACCGCGUCUAACGCAUCUAUAUACAACUUUCAGCAACGGAUCUCUUGGCUCUCGCAUCGAUGAAGAACGCAGCGAAAUGCGAUAAGUAAUGUGAAUUGCAGAAUUCAGUGAAUCAUCGAAUCUUUGAACGCACCUUGCGCUCCUUGGUAUUCCGAGGAGCAUGCCUGUUUGAGUGUCAUGAAAUUCUCAACCUACAAGCCUUUUCGGAGGUCCUUGUACGGCUUGGACUUGGAGGGUCAUUGUCGGCAGUGAUGUCGGCUCCUCUUAAACGCAUUAGCUAGUUCUCGCGGAACGGCUUUCGGUGUGAUAAUUGUCUACGCCGUGGUCGUGCCGGGUACAUGGACAAGCUUCUAAACCGUCACUCCUUGUGAGAGACACAUAUCUUGACAUCUGACCUCAAAUCAGGUAGGACUACCCGCUGAACUUAAGCAUAUCAAUAAGCGGAGGAAAAGAAACUAACAAGGAUUCCCCUAGUAACUGCGAGUGAAGCGGGAAAAGCUCAAAUUUAAAAUCUGGCGGUCUUUGGCCGUCCGAGUU
rnacentral:rRNA from 1 species